AAAGACUUUGGAAACCAUGGUGGUUGGGGCAUGCCUGUGAUCCGAGUACUGGGAGAGGCAGAAGGGGUGCCAGCGCAAGGCCGGGACCUUUGAGAAGGUUCAGUAGCAGUUUCACAGUGGUGUCCAGGAUGGCCUCAAAAUCACAGCCUCGAGGAUUUCUGACUCAAGCUUCACAGUGGCUGUGACUAUAGGAACAUGAUGAAAAUGUGACCAGCCAGUUUUCUACUCCUGUUGACACAUCUUUCCUGCCAUCAAGGACUCUCCCCUCUGGAACCAUAAACUAAAAUAAACUCUUUUAACCUC